GUUACCAGAUGUUUUUUAAAAUUUAUUUUUGUUAUUUUUUUUUUUUUUGCUAGCAGUAGAUUUUUUUUUUCUGCGAACUGGAUUUGUUCUGCGAACUGGACUUGAACAUGCUGACACUGGUGAAUCCAACUGAAGGCACUCCCGCUGCAAAAUUCAAGGCUGACUGAAUUCCCGAUGGGUUGUUAAUAUUGAGGAACUACACUAAAACUGCAAUUUUUUCAGGCAAAAUGUUGAUAAAGCUUCAAACUGACGGGGAUUGACAUAUAAGUAACCAAGAAUUUAACUGAAUCUGGGCUCAGACUGGUGCCUUCGUGAUAAUCCAGAAAAUACAGCAGAAAAACUACAGUGGUACUAGAGGGUCCCUGCUGAAGCAAGACUUCAAGCUAGCUAGUUCCGAGUUUGAACAGUCGUAAGACUAUAAAUUUUUUAAUUUUCAUUGUGAUAAUUUUCUCUACAAUACACUUUAGAUUAUAUUUGUUUUAAACUGCUUGGAAGUAAGUCCACCCUGAGAUAGUAUUAAAUCUAUUUGAACAACUAAUUGUACAAUAACUUAAUCACUGUCCUGAUUAGCACCUUAGAGCGUCAAUGCUUUUUUCUUUAAAGGAUCAACAGAAGAGUUUUCAACGGAACGGAAAUCAUGCAUAAGUUCAGUGACUUUCCAGUUCUUACCACUCAACACAGGAGCUGCAAAAAGUUAAGUAUAUCUUAGUUUUACCGACCACUGAGCUGAUUAACAGCUCUCCUAGGGCUGGCCCGAAGGAUUAGAUAUAUUUACGUGACUAGGAGCCAAUUGAUUACCUAACAGACCUAUAGCUUAUUGUGGGAUCCGAAACACAUUUUAUCGAGAAAUGAAUUUCUAUCACCAGAAAUAAAUUGCUCCGGUUCCGCGUUGGCCGAGCCGAGAAUCAAACUUCGGACACACAGAUUGGUAGGCGACCGCGCAAUGCAGGAGUUGCAACUACUGCAUUGUUAACAUAGCGCUCGCAGUAUUCCUUACUGCUAAUUGUACAGUAUGUAGCACUUUCCGAAAGUUAGACUAUGAAGUAUCAUAGCUUUGCCAUUGCCCUGAGCACUAGGGAAAAGUUGAAGAAUUUUGCUCAAGUUUUCACUUUAACAUAAUAUGCUGAACUAAGAAAUUAUAUUAGAACUUUAUGUCAGUUACUGCUAAUGUCAAGAAACCAAAUAGAAUUUAACUUUUAUGUUAACGUCAAGAACCCAAAUAGAAUUUAACUUUUAUAAAACGUAGCGCAGAAUAUAAAAUUGCAAUCUAGCUCCCCGUAUUCUUUAGUGAAGUUGGAAAAGGGACUUUUGUUGUCCAAUUUUAACAAGUACAAUUUCCCUCCUUUUUUUAUAAUGUAAAUAAUGCCUUCGGUAUUCUCACAUUCAAAUCCAGGGAAGAAAAUUUUAUCUUGUCAAUUUCACUAUUUUUAUCACUGGAUCAUUGAGCUGUUCUUACAGUGAUGUUGAUAACUAACUUAUAGUCAUUUAUUAAACUAAGCAGAAUUCCAGGUUGUUGCGAUUUUAAGUGUUUCAUGUUGUCUAGCAUUAUUUAGCAAACACCAUGUGUGUUCAAGUUUAGAAAACACAAAGUUCACUUCACAAAUUAAAAAGUUAAAUUUGAAGAUUAGGUCUCUGUGUAACUUAAUUUGGGGUUUGCGUUUUGUCUUAAUUGUAUGUCUUAAUUGUAGUGACGAGUGACUACAGGAUUAUUGAGCUAUUUGUGUCGCACCACCACCUCAUUAAUCAUACUAUAUAUGCCUAAUUUUCAUUUGUACAGUCUUCCCAGUUUAUCAGUUUUGUAUAUCAAGCAAAUUUUUCUCGUUGGACUAGCGGAUUUCGCGCUCGGCUGCCAACCCGGUGGUGUGAGGCUCGAUUCUCGGCUCGGCUAACGCGGAACCAGAGGAAUUUA